CAUCAGUUGCCGAAAUAAAUCAGUUGAGCAAAUGUCCUUAAUGUUUUGAGGGGUACAACCACCAGGCAUUUCAGUAAGCAACACUCCUGCAGUAGUAGGGAGCUUGGUAACCCUUUCAGUGUCCGUCUCUGGCUGGAAAAUAUGGCUGUCCGCCUCCACAAGGUCAGCAAUAAGUUGUGCCUUAUUUUUGCCAAAAGUUGGUAAAUUCUUUUCUUGGCACAACAAUUCCAAGGCCUCUUUUGAUUGUUUGCGAUAGGC